AGAGUUUGAUCCUGGCUCAGAACGAACGCUGGCGGCAUGCCUAACACAUGCAAGUCGAACGAGGGCUUCGGCCCUAGUGGCGCACGGGUGAGUAACGCGUGGGAACCUGCCCUGUGGUACGGAAUAACUCCGGGAAACUGGAGCUAAUACCGUAUGUGUCCUGUGGGACAAAGAUUUAUCGCCAUGGGAUGGGCCCGCGUAGGAUUAGCUUGUUGGUGGGGUAACGGCCUACCAAGGCUUCGAUCCUUAGCUGGUCUGAGAGGAUGAUCAGCCACACUGGGACUGAGACACGGCCCAGACUCCUACGGGAGGCAGCAGUGGGGAAUAUUGGACAAUGGGCGCAAGCCUGAUCCAGCAAUGCCGCGUGAGUGAUGAAGGCCUUCGGGUUGUAAAGCUCUUUCGCACGCGACGAUGAUGACGGUAGCGUGAGAAGAAGCCCCGGCUAACUUCGUGCCAGCAGCCGCGGUAAUACGAAGGGGGCUAGCGUUGUUCGGAAUUACUGGGCGUAAAGGGCGCGUAGGCGGUACUUCAAGUCAGGCGUGAAAGCCCCGGGCUCAACCUGGGAACCGCGCUUGAGACUGGAGAACUAGAGUUCGGGAGAGGAUGGUGGAAUUCCCAGUGUAGAGGUGAAAUUCGUAGAUAUUGGGAAGAACACCGAUGGCGAAGGCAGCCAUCUGGACCGACACUGNNGCUGAGGNNCGAAAGCGUGGGGAGCAAACAGGAUUAGAUACCCUAGUAGUCC
rnacentral:rRNA from 1 species